rnacentral:rRNA from 1 species
ACAGAUCGUUCAGAGUUUGAUCCUGGCUCAGGAUGAACGCUAGCGGCAGGCUUAACACAUGCAAGUCGAGGGGCAGCAUAAUGAAGUAGCAAUACGGAUUUGAUGGCGACCGGCGCACGGGUGCGUAACGCGUAUGUAACCUACCCUUAACAGGGGGAUAACACUGAGAAAUUGGUACUAAUACCCCAUAACACUACGGAGGGCAUCCUCUGAAGUUGAAAGUUCCGGCGGUUAAGGAUGGACAUGCGUUGUAUUAGCUAGAUGGUGAGGUAACGGCUCACCAUGGCGACGAUACAUAGGGGGACUGAGAGGUUAACCCCCACACUGGUACUGAGACACGGACCAG